AGAGAUUUCAGUUAGAAUCGUUAACGUGCGCGAAUAUCAUUGGGCCCCUUCCCAUCGUAUGGCAAAUUUCACGUCCUCCCAUUUCUCUUCUAGGGUUUCAAUAUCUCUCCAUCUCCCCUAGUUCCAUCUCUCUGCCUNNCGGUGAAUAUUACGGAAAAUCUUAUUUUCCGAUAACAAUCCCGACCUGCUUUCCCUCGAAAAUUUCUAACCCUCUCAAUUAGCCACCUUUGUUCCGUCCAGAUUAUUGAUUCCAACCCCCGACGGUUCAACUUUGUGAAAAUUAAUUUUCGUUUAUGAUUGAGG
rnacentral:misc_RNA from 1 species